CUCUGGGUGACUCACAGAGAGGGAAGCCAUUCAACACAACAUUCCUCUCAAGCAAGGUACACAACCCAUUCUGCUAGCUCUGCUGUGGGGGAGGAUAGUGAUCUCCAACAGAGGGAUGGAGAAAAAGCUGGACACUGCCACAGCUUGCUUGUCUCUGUCCUAAGCAUCUGGAUAAAGAAUUGAGAGCUAUUCUGUCAAUUGAAAAGGAGACAGAAAAUAGAUGUCCACGUCAAUGGACCCUGGCACAAUGCCUCAUCCUGGUCCUUCCCCAGGGCCAGGUCCUUCACCUGGACCAAUUCUUGGACCUAGCCCAGGACCAGGGCCAUCUCCUGGCUCAGUACACAGCAUGAUGGGGCCGAGUCCUGGACCACCCAGUGUCCCACAUCCAAUGCCAACGAUGGGGCCCACUGAUUACCCACAGGAGGGCAUACACCAACUGCAUAAGCAGCCCACUGAUGGCUUGCAUGAAAAAGGAAUGGUUGAAGAUGUUCACUGUAGCUCCAUGAAGAGUAUGCGACCUCCUCACCCUGGAAUGGGCCCACCUCAGAGUCCAAUGGACCAACAUAG